UACAGGGGGGGCAAGCGUUGUUCGGAAUUACUGGGCGUAAAGGGCUCGUAGGCGGCCAACUAAGUCACACGUGAAAUCCCCAGGCUUAACCUGCGAACUGCGUGUGAUACUGGAUGGCUUGAAUUCGGGAGAGGGAUGCAGAAUUCCAGGUGUAGCGGUGAAAUGCGUAGAUAUCUGGAGGAAUACCGGUGGCGAAGGCGGCAUCCUGGACCGACAUUGACGCUGAGGAGCGAAAGCUAGGGGAGCAAACGGG
rnacentral:rRNA from 1 species